GACGAACGCUGGCGGCGUGCUUAACACAUGCAAGUCGAACGGAAAGGCCCUGCUUUUGUGGGGUGCUCGAGUGGCGAACGGGUGAGUAACACGUGAGUAACCUGCCCUUGACUUUGGGAUAACUUCAGGAAACUGGGGCUAAUACCGGAUAGGAGCUCCUGCUGCAUGGUGGGGGUUGGAAAGUUUCGGCGGGUGGGGAUGGACUCGCGGCUUAUCAGCUUGUUGGUGGGGUAGUGGCUUACCAAGGCUUUGACGGGUAGCCGGCCUGAGAGGGUGACCGGCGACAUUGGGACUGAGAUACGGCGCAGACUCCUACGGGAGGCAGCAGUGGGGAAUAUUGCACAAUGGGCGGAAGCCUGAUGCAGCAACGCCGCGUGCGGGAUGACGGCCUUCGGGUUGUAAACCGCUUUCGCCUGUGACGAAGCGUGAGUGACGGUAAUGGGUAAAGAAGCACCGGCUAACUACGUG
rnacentral:rRNA from 1 species